GCUAGUAAUGGCAGGUCAGCAUACUGCCGUGAAUACGUUCCCGGGCCUUGUACACACCGCCCGUCACACCAUGAGAGUUGGGAAUACCCGAAGCCUGUGAGCUAACUUUUAGAGGCAGCAGUCGAAGGUAGAAUCAAUGAUUGGGGUGAAGUCGUAACAAGGUAGC
rnacentral:rRNA from 1 species